rnacentral:sRNA from 1 species
AAAAAUAAAAAAAUAAAGUGAAGCCUUGUAUUUUUACAAACAGAAAUACCUAUAUAUAUAUAUAUAUAUAUAUAUAUAUAUCAUCACAUGUAUACUAUACUAAAUAGAUCCUGGAAUACAUUCACAGUAUAUGUGUUUAUCUUAGCGAUUCUAGAUGAAUAUAUAUAAUGAUCUUUAUUUGAUUCAUAUGGAGCAUCAUAUUUCUGUAAUAUGUUGCUAGAAUAACAAAAUGAGAAAUAUAUUCCAUGUUCUUCCUGCAGAUUUACUUAAAUGAGUGCUAGUUUCCUGAUUGUGCCAUACCCAGGAAGCAGCACAGCUCUUCUCUGCAUUCAGAACCCGCACAUGUACUCAAGAAGACAUGAAAAACAGUACAGUUUCUUCAAAGUACAAAUAGAUGUCUCCAACAGACUAGAUGUUAGCACCAAGGAUUAAAAGCUCACAAAUUCAUCACAUCAACAGAUAAAAUGUUAAUCAUUUAUUUUCUGCACAUUUCAUUGCCUUCGAUCCGCUACACCUGCUAGAGUGUGAAGUGUGAGACUUGCUGUCUUCCCUUGCAAUCUGUAUUUCUGAACUCAGAAUGUAAUUCUGAAUAAGAUCAACUUUGACCUUAUUUAAAGAACACACACUCAUUGAAUGCUGAUGCUACACUCUAAUUUUAAGCUUUAUGAUGCCUGAGAUCACAUAGUAAAUUAGUAGCAAAACCAGUGUUAAGAACUAGGUUCACUACUUCUUCAACAGUUUUCUUAAGACCUCAUUUAAAUCACACAAGAUAAAUUAAGUUCAAAUCUGCACAUAAGGAGAGCCUAAAAUAGAUCACGUGUUUUUCUGUGAAUUUGCCAAAGUGAGUUUAACCAUUUUUAUGGAUUUUGCCUAUAGUUGGGCCUGAAACCAGAUUUUUGCUUUACAGAUCAGAUUAUAUCUUAGCCAGAUUAAAAAAUAUCUCAGGAACCCUGGCAGGGUGAGCUAAUCUUGGGACCAUCUGUUUUUUGGAUUGCUCUUGGUUUUUUUUUUCCAAAGGAAUUCUGCCAACACUUUUCGUGUCACUGGCUCCUCUCUGAGCGACUGAAUUAUUCAGUGUUGGAGAAAACUUGUUCUCAGCACCAGGUUUUAAAUUUUACAGUAAUUGAUUGAGAGUAGACAUCGAGUCAGAGAUGAUUCACUCUGCAUAGCGAUUCUCACUUUCGUAUAAUAUUUAAGAAUGCUCAUAUGCUUGCAACUUUAACAGCUUCGAAAAAACCCACCUAGAAUGAUGGGAAGAGACAAUAACAGAUUCUUGGUGUCUGAAUUAAAACUAGAAAUUGCCUACAAAUUCCUCUUAGGGAUCUCUUGUUGGUGAUUAUCUAACUUGUCAAAAAGUAUCAAUUCCAUGUAAGCGUGAGUCUAAAAAGGAGCCCCCCCCCCCAGAUCCUCCAGAUCCUCUUACAGCCCUGAAACACUGUAGCAUACCUUUCUGUAUAAUGGCGGCGGCUAGGAGAGUUCUAAAAUCUUGAAGAGAAUGGUGAUGUGCUCUUUGAGUGCUAAACUCAUGACAGCUCGAUGCCUCACAUACUAGCUUUUUACUACUUUAUCUAUUUUAUUGGUAAAAAUAAAAUAUAACUCCAUUGUGUUUCCCGUUCCCCCUCGCUGUCAGCCCCCCAAUCCUUCCUACAUAACCCUCUUUUACCCUCUAUCAGCUUCAUGGCAUUUUUUCUUUAAUUAUUGAUAUGUAUAUAUAGACAUGCAUACAGACAGACCCUUAAAUAUGUAAAUACAAUUUCCUCAGUCCAUAUCCAAGAAUGUUACUAGUAUGUGUAUGAUGUCAGGACUGACAAUUAGUUAUUGGAUAGCUAAUUGGUGUGUUAUUUCCUGGGGAAAACUAAUUUUUCCACCUACAAUAUUACUUAGUUGUCUGUAGUUCUUCGUCCAUGAAUGAGGCAGAUUUCCCUUCCAUGUUAGCGUGUCUAUUGAUGUCGUCUUUGUUCAUGACUUGCUUAAGAAACAAAUUAUUAAAAUGUUAAUUAGAACUCAUGGAUAUACCUUCACCGAUAUUUCUAACAGAUGCAAUUCUACAGCAAACUUCCUGUUCCUCUGUUUCUAAUAAUGUUUCUGCCUCCUGUGCCAUGGUGAUCUCUAAGCAUUAAGUGUAGGAGUUAUGUUGUAAAUGUCUCUAAUGGAACUAGGCAACACAGCCUCUCCUUCUCUCCACUUUGAUCUGCUAUGGCUUUCGGUAAUAGUCUGUUGUAAAAUGAAGUUGCAUUGAUAAAGUAUGAGAACUAUACUUGCUUCUGGAUAACGAUUGGGAAUGUAGAUAAGAAUUGUGCUCAUUUAGUAAAGAGGUAGUUUAAGUUCUCUUCCAAUAUCCAUCAUUUUCUAGCCCCAGACAUUUGGCUAGGUUUCCAUGACAAGGCAUAGUUUUCCUCUUGUGGUGUUAGCCUUGAGUCCAAUUAGGGAAGUAUUAUGAUGUAUGCUGUGAUGUAUGCGUGUCACUAUUGCACUGAUUAAUGCUGUAGUCUGUAGGCACAGUGGGUGGGUAGGACUUUUUGUUACCUCUCUCCCUUAGAAAUUGUAUGACAGUUCAUACUAGCUCUUAAAUCUGCUCAUGUUUCAUCCAUAUCAAGUCAUAUGGUUAUGUAAGGCUAAAAACAAGGAUGAAGAGUCAAAUCUUAUCAAAUACUUGGAAAGUGAGGCAAACAGAAGAGGUUCUGUGAUUUUUCACAGGAAGCCUAUGAAGUAGAAGUCAUCACAUCUUAUACAGAGUGAAACAUGAGUUUAUGUAGAGUUGUGUAACUCACUAGAUGAGCACAUUUGGAAACUUCUCAAGUGAGAGUCAAGCUGGCCCUCAAAUCAGUACUUUGUCCAUUUCUGCAAGAGGAAUAACACAGGGCCCUGGCUCUAGGUAAUGACUCCACUUAAAAUUAAAAGGAUCCAGUGUCUUAUUAGACUUUCCAGUGGUUAAAAGUGAAUGGAAUUUUUCAAAAACCUUCAGCAAAUAUAAAAUGUUACUACAGUAUCCAACAACUUUCUCUAUCAAUAAAAAGGAUAAAAAAAAAUAAAUUUCAAUGUGACUUGCAAUGUGUAGCCUUAGUUUACUCAAACCCAGCCUUCUUAAUUAUUGAAACAUUACAUGGCAUUAUUUACAGAGCAUGAGAGUCUGCAGGUUUGAAACAGAAUAUUCCUUAAGAAAAGAGGGCAUUCUCACUAACCCCAGGGUAAACAAAGAGGGAUAGAGGCAGGCUCCUGGCAACAAAUUAUGAAAGUUAAAUCUACAAGUUAAGAUUGCAGAGAAACUUUAAAACAAACUUCCCUUCUUUGCCAUUCUUAGUUUCUUAGUCCUUUACCAUUUUUUUUGGUCUUUCAUGGACAGCCAAAAUUUAGAAAAUGCACCAAUCCCAUAGUUACAAUGACUAGAAGGAACCCAUUCCCAGGCAAGUGAGCCCUGUGUCUCCUUCAUGUCUGGAUUAUACUGGAGGGAUGCUUAACACAGCCCUGCAUUGGUAACAAGCCCCUGCACUCCCCAGAGUGGAUCCCUUUUCCUACCUUAUCCUAAACCUGACAAUCCUUAGGGAGUUCACAUCCUUCAGCUUCUCCCCUUUCUCCAUGGCUGUUCACUAGCAAUCAAGAACAUUGCUUAGCAACAAAACCAAUCUGCAUGCCCUUACUCGUUCAGGACGUCCUUACUCCCACCGAGUACACAUUCACAAUCCUGUGUUUGCCAUGUGUCAGGAGGAUGCAGAGACCUGGACAGAUUCUAGAUACACAAUAGUUCUUCCCACUCAACUUGCAGAUUCUCCAGUCAUGUGGACAUCUUUUCCAUGUCCAGGCUACAUGUUUCAUGGAAGCCAGAUAUUUCUGGAAUAAUUAAAUGCCAUAAAAUAAAAAUAUUUUUACCAAUUAAAUUUUAAAAUCCUGGAGCUGAAAAUGUGGCUCAGGACUUAAAAUCACUUUCUAAUGAUCAUACGGAGGACCCAGGUUCAGUUCCAAAAAUCCACAGGAGAUAACUAACAACCACUUGUAACUCCAG